ACCAGUACCGUGAGGGAAAGGUGAAAAGCACCCCGGGAGGGGAGUGAAACAGUACCUGAAACCGUGCGCCCACGAGCAGUCGGAGCACCCUUGUGGUGUGACGGCGUGCCUUUUGUAGAAUGAGCCAGCGAGUCGCUGGCGCGGGGCGAGGUUAACCGAAAGGGAGCCGGAGCGAAAGCGAGCCUUAACAGGGCGACUUGAGUCCCGCGCCGCGGACGCGAAGCCGGGUGAGCUAUCCGUGGGCAGGCUGAAGCGGGGGUAAGACCCCGUGGAGGGCCGAACGCACGUCGGUUGAAAACGGCGGCGAUGACCUGCGGAUAGGGGUGAAAGGCCAAUCAAACCCGGAGAUAUCUCGUUCUCCCCGAAAUAGCUUUAGGGCUAGCGUCGCGCGUUCACCGCCGGAGGUAGAGCACCGGAUGGACGAGGGGGCUUCGCCGCCUACCGAAUCCAACCGAACUCCGAAUGCCGGCGGCCCAGAGCGCGGCAGUCAGAGCAUGUGGGCUAAGCUGUGUGCUCGAGAGGGAAACAGCCCGGACCGCCCGCUAAGGUCCCCAAGUUCCAGCCGAGUGGCAAAGGAUGUGCGUCCGCCCAGACAACCAGGAUGUUGGCUUAGAAGCAGCCAUGCAUUCAAAGAGUGCGUAACAGCUCACUGGUCGAGUGGACAUGCGCCGACAAUACACGGGGCUAAGCUGGACACCGAAGCGGCGGGAUUUUAUCUAUAUAGAAUCGGUAGGGGAGCUUCCCAUGGGCGGCGAAGCCGCCGGGCGACCGGCGGUGGAGCGCAUGGGAGUGAGAAUGCUGGCAUGAGUAGCGAGAGACGAGAGAGUAACUCGUCCGCCGUGAACCCGAGGUUUCCUGGGCAAGGCUAAUCCUCCCAGGGUCAGUCGGGGGCUAAGGCGAGGCCGGAAGGCGUAGCCGACGCGCAGCAGGCAGACAUUCCUGCACCGCGCACGCGGCGCUACGACCGACGGGGCGACGGAUGGGGGUGGCUCGGCGGGGUUCUGGACGUCCCCGUGAUGGAGCGCGGCCCGCGGACCAGGGAAAUCCGGUCCGCACGAGGGCGAGGCUCCGGACGAAGCAUCUGAGCGAAGCGAGUGAGCCCGAGGUCCCUAGAAAAACCCCUAGGCAGGCGCGUGCGCGCCCGUACCGCAAACCGACACAGGUGGGUGGGUAGAACAUACCGAGGCGAUCGGGUCAACCAUGGUCAAGGAACUCGGCACAAUGGCCCCGUAACUUCGGGAGAAGGGGUGCCCGCGCGUACGUGAACCGGCUUGCCCGGGGAGCGGAGGCGGGCCGCAGUGGAGAGGCCCAAGCGACUGUUUACCAAAAACACAGGACUCUGCAGAAGCCGCAAGGCGACGUAUAGGGUCUGACGCCUGCCCGGUGCCGGAAGGUCACGCGGAGGAGUUAGCCGCAAGGCGAAGCCCCGAAGCCAAGCCCCGGUAAACGGCGGCCGUAACUAUAACGGUCCUAAGGUAGCGAAAUUCCUUGUCGGGUAAGUUCCGACCUGCACGAAAGGCGCAACGACUUGGGCGCUGUCUCGACCAUGGACCCGGUGAAAUUGCACUGGUCGUGAAGAUGCGACUUACCCGCGGAAGGACGGAAAGACCCCGUGAACCUUCACUGCAGCUUGGCAUUGGCCGCUGGUCCCGCGUGUAGAGGAUAGGCAGGAGGCAUCGAUCCGGAGGCGCCAGCCCCCGGGGAGCCGCCCUUGGAAUACUGCCCUCGCGCGACCGGCGUCCUAACCCGAGGCCGUCAACCGGCUCGGGGACCGUGCCAGGCGGGCAGUUUGACUGGGGCGGUCGCCUCCUAAAGGGUAACGGAGGCGCGCGAAGGUCCGCUCGGGACGGUCGGCAACCGUCCUUUUGAAUGCAAGAGUACAAGCGGGCUUGACUGCGAGGCCCACAAGCCGAGCAGGUGCGAAAGCAGGCUCUAGUGAUCCGGCGGCCCCGAGUGGGUGGGCCGUCGCUCAACGGAUAAAAGGUACUCCGGGGAUAACAGGCUGAUCUUGCCCAAGAGUCCACAUCGACGGCAAGGUUUGGCACCUCGAUGUCGGCUCAUCGCAUCCUGGGGCUGGAGCAGGUCCCAAGGGUACGGCUGUUCGCCGUUUAAAGCGGUACGCGAGCUGGGUUCAGAACGUCGUGAGACAGUUCGGUCCCUAUCCUCCG
rnacentral:rRNA from 1 species